rnacentral:tRNA from 1 species
GGGUUGGUAGCUCAGUUGGUAGAGCAGGGCCCUCUUAAGGCCAAGGUCGCGGGUUCGAGCCCCGCCCAGCCCACCA